rnacentral:rRNA from 1 species
CCUACGGGAGGCAGCAGUGAGGAAUAUUGCGCAAUGCCCGAAAGGGUGACGCAGCGACGCCGCGUGGAGGAUGAAGGCCCUAUGGGUCGUAAACUCCUAAUAGAGAGGAAGAAUGUUCCGCCUUUGGCGGAAUUGACGGUACUCUCCAAGAAAGGACCGGCCAACUACGUGCCAGCAGCCGCGGUAAUA